rnacentral:tmRNA from 1 species
UCUCUUUCCCCGCGCCUCCGCAGCCCCUAUAUUCGCUGUGCCGAUCGCAAGACCGGCUAUGGCGAUAAACGGACGUCGUAAUAAGCUUUUCGGACCCGGGGGCGGUACCCGGCGCCUCCACCACAGCCCUGCGGCGCAAGCUUUGGGGCGGCCUGCGGGAUCUUGGACCGCGGGCUCGCCAGGUCACUCAGGUGGCAGGGUUGCGGCGGGGGCGAAAUAGGAUCGACGAGAGUGUAAAGGCCGUUCUUUUGCCCGGUAUGGUUCCGCCGUUAUAGGGCUAACGCAUAGUUGCCAACGACAACAAUGCUCGGGUUGCUGUCGCCGCGUAAGCGGUGCUGGUUCCCAAACCUAAGUCCUUCCGUUUAGCGACGUAAGGCGGGGCUCGGAGGCGCCUGGCAACAGAAGCCUCCACU